rnacentral:rRNA from 1 species
GGACAGGAGGUGCAAACGUUGUUCGGAAUUACUGGGCGUAAAGCGCGUGUAGGCGGUUGCACAAGUCGGGUGUGAAAGCCCAGGGCUCAACCCUGGAAGUGCACUCGAAACUAGGCGACUGGAGUCUCGGAGAGGAAAGCGGAAUUCUGGGUGUAGAGGUGAAAUUCGUAGAUAUCCAGAGGAACACCGGUGGCGAAGGCAGGUCUCUGGGCAUUAACUGACGCUGAGGAGCGAAAGCAUGGGGAGCGAACAGG